rnacentral:rRNA from 1 species
AUUGAACGCUGGCGGCAUGCUUUACACAUGCAAGUCGAACGGUAACAGGCCUUCGGGUGCUGACGAGUGGCGAACGGGUGAGUAAUGCAUCGGAACGUGCCCAGAGGUGGGGGAUAACGCAGCGAAAGCUGUGCUAAUACCGCAUGUGAUCUGAGGAUGAAAGCGGGGGACCAGGCAGCAAUGUUUGGCCUCGCGCCUUUGGAGCGGCCGAUGUCAGAUUAGGUAGUUGGGGGGGUAAAGGCCUACCAAGCCGACGAUCUGUAGCUGGUCUGAGAGGACGACCAGCCACACUGGGACUGAGACACGGCCCAGACUCCUACGGGAGGCAGCAGUGGGGAAUUUUGGACAAUGGGCGCAAGCCUGAUCCAGCAAUGCCGCGUGCGGGAAGAAGGCCUUCGGGUUGUAAACCGCUUUUGUACGGAACGAAAAGGCUCUGGCUAAUACCUGGGGCUGAUGACGGUACCGGAAGAAUAAGCACCGGCUAACUACGUG